GGAGGGGUGGCAGAGCGGCUUAAUGCACCGGUCUUGAAAACCGGAGCCCGGUUUCCCGGGCCGCGGGUUCGAAUCCCGCCCCCUCCG
rnacentral:tRNA from 1 species